rnacentral:misc_RNA from 1 species
GAUGAAGAACGCAGCAAAAUGCGAUAAGUAAUGUGAAUUGCAGAAUUCAGUGAAUCAUCGAAUCUUUGAACGCACAUUGCGCCCGCUGGUAUUCCGGCGGGCAUGCCUGUUCGAGCGUCAUUUCAACCCUCAAGCCCCCGGGUUUGGUGUUGGUGAUCGGCUCUGCCCUUCUGGGCGGUGCCGCCCCCGAAAUACAUUGGCGGUCUCGCUGCAGCCUCCAUUGCGUAGUAGCUAACACCUCGCAACUGGAACGCGGCGCGGCCAUGCCGUAAAACCCCAACUUCUGAAUGUUGACCUCGGAUCAGGUAGGAAUACCCGCUGAACUUAAGCAUAUCAAUAAGCGGAGGA